rnacentral:lncRNA from 1 species
AAGACAUAACAAAAUAUGUUUUUUUCGAUUAUAAUUGACACACUAGAUAAAUUUUAAAUGAUGUAUGUUGUGUGUAUAUGUGUGUGCGUGUGGAUUGUUUAUUAUAUGUUCAUAGAUAAGUGUGUGUGUAUGUGUGUGUGUUAUAUCAUGGCUUGGUUAGAUUGGCUUGGCUGUACUCUAUAUAAAGUUUUUCUUAAAUAUCAUCAUGACAAGAAACUGGGGACAUUUAAACUUUGUGAUAAUAUCUUCUGUAGUUCUGUCAAUAACAGUUUCCAUAGUUUAUAAAAAAUAAAUAACACAAUAUUUACUGUUAAUUUCCGAUAUCCAUUUUCUUGUC